GAUGAACGCUGGCGGCGUGCCUAAUACAUGCAAGUCGAGCGAACAGACGAGGAGCUUGCUCCUCUGACGUUAGCGGCGGACGGGUGAGUAACACGUGGAUAACCUACCUAUAAGACUGGGAUAACUUCGGGAAACCGGAGCUAAUACCGGAUAAUAUAUUGAACCGCAUGGUUCAAUAGUGAAAGACGGUUUUGCUGUCACUUAUAGAUGGAUCCGCACCGCAUUAGCUAGUUGGUAAGGUAACGGCUUACCAAGGCAACGAUGCGUAGCCGACCUGAGAGAGUGAUCGGCCACACUGGAACUGAGACACGGUCCAGACUCCUACGGGAGGCAGCAGUAGGGAAUCUUCCGCAAUGGGCGAAAGCUUGACGGAGCAACGCCGCGUGAGUGAUGAAGGUCUUCGGAUCGUAAAACUCUGUUAUUAGGGAAGAACAAAUGUGUAAGUAACUAUGCACGUCUUGACGGUACCUAAUCAGAAAGCCACGGCUAACUACGUG
rnacentral:rRNA from 1 species